UACGUAGGGUCCGAGCGUUGUCCGGAAUUACUGGGCGUAAAGAGCUCGUAGGUGGUUUGUCGCGUUGUUCGUGAAAACUCACAGCUCAACUGUGGGCGUGCGGGCGAUACGGGCAGACUUGAGUACUGCAGGGGAGACUGGAAUUCCUGGUGUAGCGGUGGAAUGCGCAGAUAUCAGGAGGAACACCGAUGGCGAAGGCAGUUCUCUGGGCCGUAACUGACGCUGAGGAGCGAAAGCGUGGGGAGCGAACAGG
rnacentral:rRNA from 1 species